rnacentral:lncRNA from 1 species
UUUUGGUAGUUCAACUGUGGAAUUUCUUUGUUUCUGUAUUUCCGGAAUAUGAGUGUGUGACUUGGUAUAAUUGAUCCUAUGGAUAGUAUAGAGAAUGGGUUUGUCAUCUUGAUAGAGAUGGUUUUACUUCGACGGAUAUUAAUUAUAGUAUCUGGAGCACGGAAUAUAUAUAUAUAUAUAUAUAUAUGAAAUAAAUUACAAAGUAUUAGAACUAUGAUUCAUACUUAAUAGUUAAACCUCAUGGCCGGACUUCGAAUUUUUUUUUUUCAAAGAGUUAGAGGUUAUAAAAAGAAUGAUUUUUUUUUUUUUUCAAACUAAACUUUCGUUUAGGCUUAUUUUGAUCAAAGGACAAAGGUUUAUUUGGAUUUUUAGUCUUUAUAUCUAUUCAUUGAAUAAGUGAUGAUCCAACAGUUCUUUCUCAGGGAAUUUUGGGACGUAGUUUGAAAGGGUUUUAUUGAAUCAUCGUGGUUCUAAUAUGAAUCUGAGGUUUUAAUUAAUUAAUAGGGUCUUAACAAGAUAAUUCCUAUCAAUAAUAAAGAAACCAGCAGUAAAGCCGCAUUACACAUAAAUAACAACAAAUAAAAUAGGUAAAUAGAAGAUUUAAGAGACACUGACAUAGAAAGUUUGGAUUUUGCAUUUGGAAAGUUUGAGUUGUGUCUUUUUAUAUUUGGGAAAUUGAUUUGUGGCUUUUGACAUGCAUGAGACGAUGAUGAAUUUUCUAUUUAAAUGCACCACCGAUGGUGAACUAAGAGGUAACUAUUUUGUCAAUGGGUGUGUUGAUUGGUUUGAUUAUUGUGAUUAUUGGUUUACCACUGAUUUCUCGAGCUUAUUCUGCGAUUUUAGAAACCCAUGAACCACGGCCUUUGACGGGUCAAACAUUUCCGGAUCAACCCAUACCCAGAACCCUUCUUACCCUCACAUACCUUUCCAUGGAUGAAAAAUCGAAUCCCAGGAUUUGAAUCUGUCCAAGAGGUUCGAAUUGUAGCAUCCUUGCCACACCAACACAUUAGCGCCUCUUCAUCCAUUCCAGGAAUCGAAUUGCUUUUUGAUCUUCUUCUUUGCAACAGAAGGUAGGGCACACUCUUUGAGAAGUUUCCUCUGGAAUUGAUGUGUGUUUUUUCUGGUAUGAAACUGUCGAAUUGAUGUUGGGUUAAAGGGGGUAACGACUUCAAAUCCUUGGUCUAGUCUAAACACAGUUUUUUUUUCCUUUUCUAAAAU